rnacentral:rRNA from 1 species
UGGGGAAUAUUGCACAAUGGGCGCAAGCCUGAUGCAGCCAUGCCGCGUGUGUGAAGAAGGCCUUCGGGUUGUAAAGCACUUUCAGCGAGGAGGAAGGUGGUGAACUUAAUACGUUCAUCAAUUGACGUUACUCGCAGAAGAAGCACCGGCUAACUCCGUGCCAGCAGCCGCGGUAAUACGGAGGGUGCAAGCGUUAAUCGGAAUUACUGGGCGUAAAAGCGCACGCGGGCGGUUUGUUAAGUCAGAUGUGAAAAUCCCCCGGGCUCAACCUGGGAACUGCAUUUGAAAACUGGCAAGCUAGAGUCUCGUAGAGGGGGGUAGAAUUCCAGGUGUAGCGGUGAAAUGCGUAGAGAUCUGGAGGAAUACCGGUGGCGAAGGCGGGCCCCCCUGGACGAAGACUGACGCUCAGGUGCGAAAAGCGUGGGGAGCAAAACAGGAUUAGAUACCCUGGUAGUCCACGCUGUAAAACGAUGUCGAUUUUGGAGGUUGUGCCCCUUGAGGCGUGGCUUCCGGAGCUAACGCGUUAAAUCGACCGCCUGGGGAGUACGGCCCAAAGGUUAAAAACUAAAAUG